rnacentral:rRNA from 1 species
UACGGAGGGAGCUAGCGUUGUUCGGAAUUACUGGGCGUAAAGCGCACGUAGGCGGCUUUGUAAGUUAGAGGUGAAAGCCCGGGGCUCAACUCCGGAACUGCCUUUAAGACUGCAUCGCUUGAAUCCAGGAGAGGUGAGUGGAAUUCCGAGUGUAGAGGUGAAAUUCGUAGAUAUUCGGAAGAACACCAGUGGCGAAGGCGACUCACUGGACAACUGUUGACGCUGAGGUGCGAAAAGCGUGGGGGAG